rnacentral:rRNA from 1 species
AGGCCAUUGCUCUAGUAACGGCGAGUGAAGCAGCAAUAGCUCAAAUUUGAAAUCUGGCGUCUUCGACGUCCGAGUUGUAAUUUGUAGAGGAUGCUUCUGAGUAACCACCGACCUAAGUUCCUUGGAACAGGACGUCAUAGAGGGUGAGAAUCCCGUAUGCGGUCGGAAAGGUGCUCUAUACGUAGCUCCUUCGACGAGUCGAGUUGUUUGGGAAUGCAGCUCUAAAUGGGAGGUAAAUUUCUUCUAAAGCUAAAUAUUGGCCAGAGACCGAUAGCGCACAAGUAGAGUGAUCGAAAGAUGAAAAGCACUUUGGAAAGAGAGUUAAAAAGCACGUGAAAUUGUUAAAAGGGAAGGGAUUGCAACCAGACUUGCUCGCGGUGUUCCGCCGGUCUUCUGACCGGUCUACUCGCCGCGUUGCAGGCCAGCAUCGUCUGGUGCCGCUGGAUAAGACUUGAGGAAUGUAGCUCCCUCGGGAGUGUUAUAGCCUCUUGUGAUGCAGCGAGCGCCGGGCGAGGUCCGCGCUUCGGCUAGGAUGCUGGCGUAAUGGUCGUAAUCCGCCCGUCUUGA